UACAGAGGUCUCAAGCGUUGUUCGGAUUCAUUGGGCGUAAAGGGUGUGUAGGUGGCGCGCUAAGUCGGGUGUGAAAUUUCGGAGCUUAACUCCGAAACUGCAUUCGAUACUGGCGUGCUUGAGGACUGGAGAGGAGACUGGAAUUCCUGGUGUAGCAGUGAAAUGCGUGGAUAUCAGGAGGAAUACCGAUGGCGAAGGCAGGUCUCUGGGUUAACACUGACGCUCAUGCACGAAAGCGUGGGGAGCAAACAGG
rnacentral:rRNA from 1 species